AGAGUUUGAUCCUGGCUCAGGACGAACGCUGGCGGCGUGCCUAAUACAUGCAAGUCGAGCGAAUUUCAAGGGGCUUGCCCCUUGAGGUUAGCGGCGGACGGGUGAGUAACACGUGGGCAACCUGCCUGUAAGACUGGGAUAACACCGGGAAACCGGUGCUAAUACCGGAUAAUUCUUUCCCUCUCAUGAGGGGAAGCUGAAAGUCGGUUUUUAGCUGACACUUACAGAUGGGCCCGCGGCGCAUUAGCUAGUUGGUGAGGUAACGGCUCACCAAGGCGACGAUGCGUAGCCGACCUGAGAGGGUGAUCGGCCACACUGGGACUGAGACACGGCCCAGACUCCUACGGGAGGCAGCAGUAGGGAAUCUUCCGCAAUGGACGAAAGUCUGACGGAGCAACGCCGCGUGAGUGAUGAAGGCCUUCGGGUCGUAAAACUCUGUUGUUAGGGAAGGACAAGUACCGGAGUAACUGCCGGUACCUUGACGGUACCUAACCAGAAAGCCACGGCUAACUACGUGCCAGCAGCCGCGGUAAUACGUAGGUGGCAAGCGUUGUCCGGAAUUAUUGGGCGUAAAGCGCGCGCAGGCGGUCCUUUAAGUCUGAUGUGAAAGCCCACGGCUCAACCGUGGAGGGUCAUUGGAAACUGGGGGACUUGAGUGCAGAAGAGGAAAGCGGAAUUCCACGUGUAGCGGUGAAAUGCGUAGAGAUGUGGGGGAACACCAGUGGCGAAGGCGGCUUUCUGGUCUGUAACUGACGCUGAGGCGCGAAAGCGUGGGGAGCAAACAGGAUUAGAUACCCUGU
rnacentral:rRNA from 1 species